AAUUUUGGACAAUGGGCGCAAGCCUGAUCCAGCCAUGCCGCGUGAGUGACGAAUGCCUUCGGGUUGUAAAGCUCUUUGAUCAGGGAUGAUAAUGACAGUACCUGAAAAACAAGCCACGGCUAACAACGUGCCAGCAGCCGCGGUAAUACGUAGGUGGCGAGCGUUGUCAGGAAUUACUGGGCGUAAAGUAUGCGUAGGUGGAUACUUAAGUGGGAUGUGAAAGCGACGGGCUAGACCCGGGAACUGCAUUCCAAACUGGGUAUCUAGAGUGAAGGAGAGGAAAGCGGAAUUCCUAGUGUAGCGGUGAAAUGCGUAGAUAUUAGGAGGAACACCAGUGGCGAAGGCGGCUUUCUGGACUGUAACUGACGCUGAGGCAUGAAAGCGUGGGUAGCAAACAGG
rnacentral:rRNA from 1 species